CCUACGGGUGGCAGCAGUAGGGAAUAUUGCUCAAUGGGGGAAACCCUGAAGCAGCAACGCCGCGUGGAGGAUGAAGGUUUUCGGAUUGUAAACUCCUUUUGUUAGAGAAGAUAAUGACGGUAUCUAACGAAUAAGCACCGGCUAACUCCGUGCCAGCAGCCGCGGUAAUACGGAGGGUGCAAGCGUUACUCGGAAUCACUGGGCGUAAAGAGCGCGUAGGCGGGAAAGCAAGUCAGAUGUGAAAGCCUGUGGCUUAACCAUAGAACUGCAUUUGAAACUGUUAUGCUAGAGUGUGGGAGAGGUAGGGGGAAUUCCUGGUGUAGGGGUAAAAUCCGUAGAUAUCAAGAGGAAUACUCAUUGCGAAGGCGACCUGCUAGAACAUAACUGACGCUGAUGCGCGAAAGCGUGGGUAGCAAACAGGAUUAGAUACCCGGGUAGUC
rnacentral:rRNA from 1 species